CUGCAGCUCACCGGCCUUGGGAUUCAAUUUUCACUGAGCUCCACUUCCUCAUGCUGUGACGUCAUCAGCCAGCUGCUACUGAGCUUCCCUGCUCCCUCUGGCAAGUCGCCAUUACAACCCGGUGUUUGCAACUAUCAUAUUAACAGUCCUGUUAGGGUUGUGCCUGACAUAAUACUAAGCCCAAAACUAUGGACCCAGCUGGAAUGAACGCACAUGUGCAAAAUAUCACACAGAGGGUUGAUUUAUUAACUGAAGCUGUUAAUUCUCUGAAAACAGAAAAUGAUACUUUAAAAGCUUAUAUCAGGGAUGUGGUUGAUAAGAGAGUACCUAUAUUAGAACCACAGGUUAGUACACCAGAAAAAUUUAGUGGUGAGAGAUCUGAGUAUAGAGAUUUCAAGAAUGCUUGUUUGCUUAUGUUCUCCCUUAAACCUCAUACCUAUCCCACUGAUAGAGCAAGGGUACUCACAGUUAUAUCCUAUUUGAGAGGUGAGCCCCGCACAUGGGCCAACACUUACUUCGAGAAUAACGAUGAUAUACUUAAUUCGUUGGAAAGUUUUUUUUCUGCUAUGGGUCAGCUAUAUGAGGAUCCAUAUAAACAGCUUACUGCUGAAACUGCAAUGCGAGGCUUGAAACAAAAGAAAAGAGUAGUUGAAGAUUACAUUGCCGAAUUUAAAAAAUGGGCGAAAGACACUCAAUGGAAUGACCUUUCACUGAGAAAUCAGUUUAGAUUAGGCCUUUAAGAAGGAAUUAAGGAUGAGUUGUCUAGAUCUGAACUACCACAUACUCUUGAGGCUUUAAUGUCACUUAGCAUAACUAUAGACAGAAGACUGAGAGAGAGACAGCAGGAGAGAUCAUUUCAUGAAUAUCCUGCAAAGAAACAAAAUACACCCAGCCCCAGCAAAUCAACUGCUGAACCUAUGGAUAUAGGUUUUAUAAAGGGACCAUUAACCCCUGAGGAGAAGAUCCGACGAAGGGUUAAUAACCUCUGUUUAUACUGUGCUUCAGACAAACACACUGUCAGGGACUGUCCUUCCCUCCUGAAACAAAACAAGGUGGGAGUCACAUCGAAUCAACGCUCCCGCGAUUAUUGACUCAGGAGCUACAGCAUCUUACAUAGAUACUGUAUUCACUAAAUUCAAUAAAAUUCCACUUGUGCAAAAAA